rnacentral:snRNA from 1 species
GUGUUUGUUUCGGCAGCACAUAUACUAAAAUUGGAAUGAUACAGAGGAGAUUAGCAUGGCCCCUGCACAAGGAUGACAUGCAAAGUUGUGAAGCGUUCCAUAUUUUU